rnacentral:lncRNA from 1 species
GCACAAACAUCUUUUGAGUCCGAAACUAAACAGGUCAACCCGACCUCCCUGACCCUCCUCUCCUUCCGUAGCUUCUAUUUGUCAAGGUCUCCGCGUUCUCUUCAGCUUCCCUUUACGCUCCCCCAGCACGGGGGCUUUGUGGAGUCCCCCCAAAGUCCCAGAACCCUGCGGGACGGUCAGAGGUUUGGCGGCCAGGCGUCAGAAAGUGUCCCCGCUCUUUGCUGCCCUUGUGCACUCUGGGGGCGCGAAUUGGAUACCAAAGGCAGUGAAGGUCCUGGGUCAGGACUGCAGCCAAGAAGCUUUCUGAUGAUGCUGAGGCACCAAGGAGCCCUGGGUGUCUGGGCAUUUGGGGAAGAAGCCUCAAACAUGAGUGCCAGACAGCACUGAAGACCCUGAUGGUCAGUGUCCAUAUUGGG